AUUGAACGCUGGCGGCAGGCCUAACACAUGCAAGUCGAACGAGUGGCGGACGGGUGAGUAAUGUCUGGGAAACUGCCCGAUGGAGGGGGAUAACUACUGGAAACGGUAGCUAAUACCGCAUACCAUCGGAUGUGCCCAGAUGGGAUUAGCUAGUAGGUGGGGUAACGGCUCACCUAGGCGACGAUCCCUAGCUGGUCUGAGAGGAUGACCAGCCACACUGGUAUCGAGACACGGGCCAGACUCCUACGGGAGGCAGCAGUGGGGUAUAUUGCACAAGGGGCUGAAGGCUUAUGCAGCCAUUCCGCGUGUAUGAAGAAGGCCUUCGGGUUGUAAAGUACUUUAAGCGAGGAGGCGUUACUCGAAGAAGAAGCACCGGCUAACGCCGUGCCAGCCGCCGCGGUAAUAC
rnacentral:rRNA from 1 species